rnacentral:tRNA from 1 species
GGUGGGGUGGCCGAGUGGUCGAUGGCACCGGUCUUGAAAACCGGCAGGCGGCAACGUCUCGUGGGUUCGAAUCCCACCCCCACCGCCA